rnacentral:rRNA from 1 species
UUACACAUGCAAGUCGAGCGGGGAAGGCGUAGCUUGCUACUUGACCUAGCGGCGGACGGGUGAGUAAUGCUUAGGAAUCUGCCUAUUAGUGGGGGACAACAUCUCGAAAGGGAUGCUAAUACCGCAUACGUCCUACGGGAGAAAGCAGGGGACCUUCGGGCCUUGCGCUAAUAGAUGAGCCUAAGUCGGAUUAGCUAGUUGGUGGGGUAAAGGCCUACCAAGGCGACGAUCUGUAGCGGGUCUGAGAGGAUGAUCCGCCACACUGGGACUGAGACACGGCCCAGACUCCUACGGGAGGCAGCAGUGGGGAAUAUUGGACAAUGGGGGGAACCCUGAUCCAGCCAUGCCGCGUGUGUGAAGAAGGCCUUUUGGUUGUAAAGCACUUUAAGCGAGGAGGAGGCUACCGAGAUUAAUACUCUUGGAUAGUGGACGUUACUCGCAGAAUAAGCACCGGCUAACUCUGUGCCAGCAGCCGCGGUAAUACAGAGGGUGCAAGCGUUAAUCGGAUUUACUGGGCGUAAAGCGCGCGUAGGUGGCCAAUUAAGUCAAAUGUGAAAUCCCCGAGCUUAACUUGGGAAUUGCAUUCGAUACUGGUUGGCUAGAGUAUGGGAGAGGAUGGUAGAAUUCCAGGUGUAGCGGUGAAAUGCGUAGAGAUCUGGAGGAAUACCGAUGGCGAAGGCAGCCAUCUGGCCUAAUACUGACACUGAGGUGCGAAAGCAUGGGGAGCAAACAGGAUUAGAUACCCUGGUAGUCCAUGCCGUAAACGAUGUCUACUAGCCGUUGGGGCCUUUGAGGCUUUAGUGGCGCAGCUAACGCGAUAAGUAGACCGCCUGGGGAGUACGGUCGCAAGACUAAAACUCAAAUGAAUUGACGGGGGCCCGCACAAGCGGUGGAGCAUGUGGUUUAAUUCGAUGCAACGCGAAGAACCUUACCUGGUCUUGACAUAGUAAGAACUUUCCAGAGAUGGAUUGGUGCCUUCGGGAACUUACAUACAGUGCUGCAUGGCUGUCGUCAGCUCGUGUCGUGAGAU